rnacentral:rRNA from 1 species
AUCUCUGCCCUAUGAAUAAUUAAAUGGCCGCAGUAUUUUGACUGUGCAAAGGUAGCAUAAUCAUUUGUUUUUUAAUUGAAAACUGGAAUGAAAGAGUCGACGAAAAGUAGUCUUUUGAUCGGUAUAGUUAAAUUGACAUAAGAGUAAAAAGGCUCUUAUAAAUCAGAGGGACGAUMAGACCCUAUAAAACUUUACUUUUUAAAUCUUGUUCUUAAGGGUGGAUAAGAGGGAAGGUUAAACUGGGGCGGUGUUUAUAAAAACUGUAAUAAUAUAAAUAUAGAAAAUAAGGUCGAAGAACUUUUUAAAAAAUUGAACAAGUUACUUUAGGGAUAACAGCAUAAUCUUCCUAGAGAGUCCUUAUCGGCAGGAAGGUUUAUGACCUCGAUGUUGAAUUGAAAUUCCUUAUGCGGGCAGGUGCGCGUAAAGGUAGUCUGUUCGACUAUUGAUUUUUC